rnacentral:rRNA from 1 species
GACGAACGCUGGCGGCGUGCCUAAUACAUGCAAGUCGAACGCAGUGGGGACGGGUGAGUAACACGUGGGUAACCUCCCAUCAGAGGGGAUAACACUUGGAUACAGGUGCUAAACCGAUACUGAUGGAUGAACCCGCGGUGGAUUAGCUAGUUGGGGAGGUAACGGCUAACCAAGGCCACGAUGCAUAGCGGAACUGAGAGGGUGAGCGGCAACACUGGGACGGAGACACGGCCCAGACUCCUACGGGAGGCAGCAGUAGGGAAUCUUCGGCAAGGGACGAAAGUCUGACCGAGCAACGCCGCGUGAGUGAAGAAGGUUUGCGGAUCGUAAAGCUCUGUUGUUAGAGAAGCGGUAUCUAACCAGAAAGCCACGGCUAACUACGUGCCAGCGGCCGCGGUAAUAC